rnacentral:lncRNA from 1 species
CAUCUCCUUGGUCACAGCUGACAGUUUGCAAUGCCUAACUAACCUGUCUGUGAGGAUAGUGCCGCACUGAAUUGCAGAUAGCUUGGUAGUCAGAGAUUACAUCAAGCAGUCUACGAGUAGAGAAGAAAAAAUAGAUAUAUUCAGCAUUUAAGUUGGGCUUCCAAGGAAUUGUAUCUGUGGUACAGUGAAUAUUAUUAAGUACGCUGCAGUGUUAUCUGCAUCUAUCAGGGUUGAAAAGGAUAGCAGACAGGCAUGAAAUCCUGCUCUUCAACAACAGUGCAAGAAAUAUGAAUUCUCUUCCAGAUUAAUAUUCAAAUGAUUGUGAUGGGCAAUUUGCUGGAAAAUGAGACGAUUGGACAGUCUGAUGCAGGUUUAUGCACAAUUAGAUGUCUGAAAAUGCAGCCUAGUCUAUCCAUGGCGCAUCACAGCAGCAACAUAGCCC